rnacentral:lncRNA from 1 species
GCCAGGUGUGGUGGCUCAUACCUGUAAUCCCAGCACCUUGGGAGGCUGAGGUAGACGUAUCACCUGAUGUCAGGAGUUCAAGACCAACCUGGUCAACAUGGUGAAACGCCAUCUCUACUAAAAAAUAUAAAAAUUAUGCCAGGCAUGAUGGCUUGUGCCUAUAAUCCCAGCACUUUGGGAGGCUGAGGCUGGUUGAUCACCCUAGGUCAGAAGUUUGAGACCAGCUUGGCAACACAUGGUGAAACCCUGUCUCUAACUAAAAUUACAAAAAAAUUAGCUGGGCAUGGUGGUGCAUGCCUGUAAUUCCAGCUAGUUGGGAGGCUGGGACAGGAGAAUCACAUAAACCUGGGAGGCAGAGGUUGUAGUGAGCUGAGAUCGUGCCACUGCACUCUAGCCUGAGCAACAGAGUAAGACUCUGUCUCAAAAAAAAAAAAAAGUACAAAAAUUAGCCAAGCGUGGUGGUGGGCACCUGUAAUCCCAGCUACGUGAGAGUCUGAGCCAGAGAGAAUCGCUUGAACCUGGGAGUCAGAGGUUGCAGUGAGCCGAGAUGACACCACUACACUCCAGUCUGGGCAACAGAGCAAGACUCAAUCUCAAAAAAAAAAGUAAAAAAAUAAGGCCGGGCAUGGUGGCUCACGCCUGUAAUCCCAGCACGUUGGGGAGGCUGAGACAGGUGGAUCACCUGAGGUCGAGAGUUCGAGACCAGCCUGGCCAACAUGGUGAAACCCCAUCUUUAAAAAAAUAAAAAUAAAAAAGUAAAUACAUAAAAUUCCUUCUCAGCGUAACUUCUAUUUCAAAACCCCCAGAUUUGGAUGGAGGAGUCUGGCCCUAAGGUUGUGAUCAGCCUCACGUUCCUGCCUAACCACCAGCCCUACAGGUUAGGGGGACAGGAGUGAGAAGAAGUCUAGCUAGUGGCUCUUGAGCCUGACUCUCGUGGGACAGAGGGUGAUGGCACAGAGUGGACCAGGCCAGGGUCUCACUGUGUCGCCCAGGCUGGAGUGUAUGGUGCAAUCCCAGCUCACUGCAGCCUCGACCUCCCAGGCUCAAGAGAUCCCCCAGCAUCAGCCUGAUGAUCAGGUGGGACCACAGGCGCGUGCCACCACCAUGCCCAACUACUUCCCAGUUCAACUGUGGAUAAAACUGGUAUGUGGGGGCAAUGAGAGAGACGGGUGAAAAAUGAGAAACAAGGGAUAGGGCUGACCUCUUUUGUGUAGAAAGAAAAAAAACAGUUUCCUCAGAAAACGUUAAGUUGCCUCUCAGCCGCCUGGUAUCAGGAAGCACUGAGGCUCCCCAACGCUAACUCCUCUCAGAGCAGCUCUGGGCAGGCCACCUGAUCCUAUCCGGAGCGGGCGGGUAGGCCGCGAGACCACGUGGCCCAGAGCGCCCUUCCCUGCUGCCGGCAGGGGCGGGUCCGGGAGCGCCUGCCGCGCUGGGCGGGACGUGGGCUCCCAGGCCCGGCGGAGAGCCGCCGCCGCCGCCCUCUUGUUUUUUUCUUGAGACCUGGUCUGGCUCUGUGGCUCAGGCUGGAGUGCAAGUGGCGUGAUCACCGCUCACUGCAGCCUUAGCCUCCUCUAACCUUAGCCGCUCCGGUACCUGGGACCACGAGCUGGCGCCAUCACCUCCGGCUACGUUUUUUGUAUUUUUAGCAGAGACUGGGAUCCUGCCAUGUUGGCUAGGCUGCUCUCGAACUUCUGAGAUCAAGCGAUCCGCCCGCCUCGGCCUCCC